rnacentral:tRNA from 1 species
GUCUGAGUGGUGGAACUGGUAUACACAGGAGAUUUAAAAUCUCCCGCCUUAUGGAUUGUGGGUUCAAAUCCCACCUUGGACA